CUCCAGGAAGAAUAUUCAAGAGCCUGCACCUGCACCCGGUUCUCUGAGAUGGUGGAAGUGUGACAAGAUGGAUCCACACCAGCAAACACCAGCAAUGCCCCGUAGCUAGACUCAGUGAGAUGCGGCAGAAGGGGAAGUCAGACUCAAAAGCAGGAGAAGGACUUGAUGCGCCAUUACUGGCUCUGAAGAUGAAGGAGGCUAGGAGUCUCAGUCAUACAACCACAAGGAACUGGAUUCUGGUAACAACCUGAAUGGACUUGGGAGAAGUGGGUUCUUCUCUAGUUGACCUAGGGACACCUUGACUUUGGCCGUACAAGACCCUAAGCAAAAGACCCAGUCACUUGAUGCUGGACUUCUGACCCACAGAAAGUGUGAGAUAAUAAAUCUAUGUUGUUUUAAGCUGA